UGAAGGCAGGCAUUUUGAUAAUAGUAAGAUGGGGUCCACGACAGGACCAUCCGGCUCUGCCACUCCCCAUUCUGCCCGUGGGAUUCUCAAGGGACCAGAUGCCACCGACCAUAGCAACAGGAUACAGGCUGCACUUUGUUAUCUGUGGGGCCUGCCCAGGGCUCAGGGCUCUCCAAUAAAGCUGGAAUGGAGCCUGCAGCCGUCUGUAGGCCUAACAGGGCCUCUCCUUCUGCCCGAGCCCUCCUUCUUUGAGAGAUGUUUCCUCCUUCUGUUCAGUAGCAGACUCGAUGGAGAAGCAAAGCGUCAUAUGCACACUCAUCUCCUCUGCUUCACACAUGGCAGCCCCUCGGUGCUAAAGGGUGGCAGAGCUUCCUGCUUACAGACAGUGGCACCAUGGACUAGAGUGGAGCACAGUGGACAGGACUGACAGUGUGCUGGUGACCGUCAUGCUGCAGCAGGAAUUCUCAAAGUACCUUCUUCACGACACCAUUUCUUCAGCAUGCUUCAGCCUAUGAGACUCCUUUGGCAGGCAGCAUAGAUUCCAGAAAGAUGCCUCAAACAUUCUCCUCUUAAGGCUUCACUGAGAAUUUGUUAAAGGAACAUCGAAGGCUCUGAUCAGUCUUGCAGUAAAGAAAUCGGUUUAAUUUUG